GGACAUGUCAAGGUAAAUAACAGCUUCACUGAUAAAGGGACAUGUCAGGGUAAAUAACAGCUUCACUGAUAAAGGGACAUGUCAGGGUAAAUAACAGCUUCACUGAUAAAGGGACAUGUCAGGGUAAAUAACAGCUUCACUGAUAAAGGGACAUGUCAGGGUACAUCACAGCUUCACUGAUAAAGGGACAUGUCAGGGUAAAUAACAGCUUCACUGAUAAAGGGACAUGUCAGGGUAAAUAACAGCUUCACUGAUAAAGGGACAUGUCAGGGUAAAUAACAGCUUCACUGAUAAAGGGACAUGUCAGGGUAAAUAACAGCUUCACUGAUAAAGGGACACGUCAAGGUAAAUAACAGCUUCACUGAUAAAGGGAAAUGUCAAGGUAAAUAACAGCUUCAAUGAUAAAGGGACAUGUCAGGGUAAAUAACAGCUUCACUGAUAAAGGGACAUGUCAGGGUAAAUAACAGCUUCACUGAUAAAGGGACAUGUCAGGGUAAAUAACAGCUUCACUGAUAAAGGGACAUGUCAGGGUAAAUAACAGCUUCACUGAUAAAGGGACAUGUCAAGGUAAAUAACAGCUUCACCGAUAAAGGGACAUGUCAGGGUAAAUAACAGCUUCACUGAUAAAGGGACAUGUCAGGGUAAAUAACAGCUUCACUGAUAAAGGGACAUGUCAGGGUAAAUAACAGCUUCACUGAUAAAGGGACAUGUCAGGGUAAAUAACAGCUUCACUGAUAAAGGGACAUGUCAGGGUAAAUAACAGCUUCACUGAUAAAGGGACAUGUCAGGGUAAAUGACAGCUUCACUGAUAAAGGGACAUGUCAGGGUAAAUAACAGCUUCACUGAUAAAGGGACAUGUCAGGGUAAAUAACAGCUUCACUGAUAAAGGGACAUGUCAGGGUAAAUAACAGCUUCACUGAUAAAGGGAAAUGUCAAGGUAAAUAACAGCUUCACUGAUAAAGGGACAUGUCAGGGUAAAUGACAGCUUCACUGAUAAAGGGACAUGUCAGGGUAAAUAACAGCUUCACUGAUAAAGGGACAUGUCAGGGUAAAUAACAGCUUCACUGAUAAAGGGACAUGUCAGGGUAAAUGACAGCUUCACUGAUAAAGGGACAUGUCAGGGUAAAUAACAGCUUCACUGAUAAAGGGACAUGUCAGGGUAAAUAACAGCUUCACUGAUAAAGGGACAUGUCAGGGUAAAUAACAGCUUCACUGAUAAAGGGACAUGUCAGGGUAAAUGACAGCUUCACUGAUAAAGGGACAUGUCAGGGUAAAUAACAGCUUCACUGAUAAAGGGACAUGUCAGGGUAAAUAACAGCUUCACUGAUAAAGGGACAUGUCAGGGUAAAUGACAGCUUCACUGAUAAAGGGACAUGUCAGGGUAAAUAACAGCUUCACUGAUAAAGGGACAUGUCAGGGUAAAUAACAGCUUCACUGAUAAAGGGACAUGUCAGGGUAAAUAACAGCUUCACUGAUAAAGGGACAUGUCAGGGUAAAUGACAGCUUCACUGAUAAAGGGACAUGUCAGGGUAAAUAACAGCUUCACUGAUAAAGGGACAUGUCAGGGUAAAUAACAGCUUCACUGAUAAAGGGACAUGUCAGGGUAAAUGACAGCUUCACUGAUAAAGGGACAUGUCAGGGUAAAUAACAGCUUCACUGAUAAAGGGACAUGUCAAGGUAAAUAACAGCUUCACUGAUAGUAGUAUUCUCUGGACUACGACCCCAUUAGCCUACAAAAACAUGUUUUCUGACCUCCUUAGUAAAUAUGGGUCUUUGCGGCUUGACCUAGUGCCUCUAUAUUGGGCCUUUCCUAAAUAUUGCUUGGUUGUAUACUUGGGGGAUAGUGUCUAGCGUCUGCAUAUGAGAGUCUUCAUAUUGCAUGAGACAAGUUACAAUUAACUGACUUGUCCAGGACGUUACGUGAUGUGAAACAGGUUCAUAGAUGAAAAGAUUGAGUACAGGUUUCUUCCUUUUGGUGCGUGUGUUAUU